rnacentral:rRNA from 1 species
AGUGGUGUAGGGGUAAAAUCCGUAGAUAUCACUAGGAAUACCGAAAGCGAAGGCGAUCUCCUGGAACAUUACUGACGCUAAGGCGUGAAAGCGUGGGGAGCAAACGGGAUUAGAUACCCCGGUAGUCCACGCCCUAAACGAUGUUCACUAGUCGUCGGGAUGCUAGUCAUCUCGGUGAUGCACUUAACAGAUUAAGUGAACCGCCUGGGGAGUACGGUCGCAAGAUUAAAACUCAAAGGAAUAGACGGGGACCCGCACAAGUGGUGGAGCAUGUGGUUUAAUUCGAAGAUACGCGAAGAACCUUACCUAGCCUUGACAUUGAUAGAAUACACCAGAGAUGGAGUAGUGCCUUUCGGGGAACUUGAAAACAGGUGCUGCACGGCUGUCGUCAGCUCGUGUCGUGAGAUGUUGGGUUAAGUCCCGCAACGAGCGCAACCCUCGUCCUUAGUUGCCAGCAGGUUAAGCUGGGCACUCUAAGGAGACUGCCUUCGUAAGGAGGAGGAAGGUGAGGACGACGUCAAGUCAUCAUGGCCCUUAUGGCUAGGGCUACACACGUGCUACAAUGGGGCGUACAGAGUGUUGCGAUACCGCGAGGUGGAGCUAAUCACUUAAAGCGUCUCUCAGUUCGGAUAGCAGUCUGCAACUCGACUGCUUGAAGCUGGAAUCACUAGUAAUCGUAGAUCAGCAAUGCUACGGUGAAUACGU